rnacentral:rRNA from 1 species
GAUGAACGCUGGCGGCGUGCCUAAUACAUGCAAGUCGAGCGAACAGACGAGAGUGCUUGCACUCUCUGACGUUAGCGGCGGACGGGUGAGUAACACGUGGGUAACCUACCUAUAAGACUGGGAUAACUUCGGGAAACCGGAGCUAAUACCGGAUAAUAUUUAGCUUCGCAUGAAGCAAUAGUGAAAGACGGUUCUGCUGUCACUUAUAGAUGGACCCGCGGUGUAUUAGCUGGUUGGUGAGGUAACGGCUCACCAAGGCAACGAUACAUAGCCGACCUGAGAGGGUGAUCGGCCACACUGGGACUGAGACACGGCCCAGACUCCUACGGGAGGCAGCAGUAGGGAAUCUUCCGCAAUGGACGAAAGUCUGACGGAGCAAUGCCGCGUGAGUGAAGAAGGUUUUCGGAUCGUAAAACUCUGUUGUAAGGGAAGAGCAAGUACGUUAGUAACUGAACGUACCUUGACGGUACCUUACCAGAAAGCCACGGCUAACUACGUG